UUUAGUUUUUUGAGGAAUCUCCACACUGUUUUCCAUAAUAGCUGCACCAAAUUGCAUUCCCAACUAGAGUGUAGGAGAGUUCCCUUUUCUCCACACCCUCUCCAGCAUUUAUCAUUCAUGGAUGUUUUUAAUGAUGACCACUCUGACUGGGUGAGGUGAUACCUCAUUGUAGUUUUGACUAGCAUU